UACGUAGGGUGCGAGCGUUGUCCGGAAUUACUGGGCGUAAAGAGCUCGUAGGUGGUUUGUCGCGUUGUUCGUGAAAACUCACAGCUCAACUGUGGGCGUGCGGGCGAUACGGGCAGACUAGAGUACUGCAGGGGAGACUGGAAUUCCUGGUGUAGCGGUGGAAUGCGCAGAUAUCAGGAGGAACACCGGUGGCGAAGGCGGGUCUCUGGGCAGUAACUGACGCUGAGACGCGAAAGCGUGGGGAGCAAACAGG
rnacentral:rRNA from 1 species